rnacentral:tRNA from 1 species
GCCUGGGUGGCUCAGUCGGUUGAGCGUCUGACUUCGGCUCAGGUCAUAAUCUCGUGGUUCGUGAGUUUGAGCCCCGUGUCGGGCU